rnacentral:lncRNA from 1 species
UUUCUUUUUCUCUCACGUGCCUUUCAGUCUCUACUCCCAUCUUCUAGAAUUCUCUCCACCCUCCCUUUCAUUUUGUUUGUCACCAUAAUUCUUUUCUCUUCUCUCCACUCUUGAUGGUUAAUUACUCAUAUAAGCAAAGCUAUCUUCUAAUCUACAAGUGCUCUUGGGUAAAGAUUUUGGAGUUGGGGUUACUGCUCUAAGAAAGGAGAAGAACACCCAUCUCUUGAAAGUUGGUCAAUCAUAUUCUUUGAGGUAAACAAUUUAUGAUUCAUGAGUUUAAAGAUGAUAUCUAUCUUGGAUGAGUAGUAGAACUAGUGUGGAGUAAACUCUUAAAUUUUCAUGAGUCCCUUUCAAACUCUACUCUAACAAAAUUGGGGGAUUUUGUCAAAUUGUUUUAUCUAUUGAUAGUUUGACCUUAAAUAAGUUUUUACAAAAGCUGAAAUUUUGUAUGAUGUUCAAAUUAGGUAGAAAUUGCUCCGGUGGUCGUUCUGAAGGCAAUUGCUCGGAAUGGAGUUGAUUCGUCAUAGUUGUGAGUUGAUAAUGAUCAUUACUACUUAUUUUAACUACUAUUAUCAAUUUUAUGUUACUUAUUUUCUAUGUUAAAGUAUUUAUAAAAUUGGNNN